UCUAUUCCUCAAAACCUUUUCAUUCGCUAUCUCUCUAUACUUAUCUUACCAUCGAUUUCAAUGAACUAUAAUCUUCUCAAUUGGGGGGAAAUCUGUUCGAACUUACUGCAGAAAAGGCAAAUGCCAAGUUGAAACAGAGAAAGAGGUUUCUUUGGGAUGCUUGCCGAGAUCUGACUUUGAUCAUUUUGAUGGUGGGGAUAAAAACUGAGAUUGUGCGGUCCAAGGCUCUGGAUUCUUUGCUGGUGCAACUAGUCAGUUAGAUGCCUUGAAGUUGGUCCAAGAUCCUGAUGAUGUAGCCUUGACAGUUAAAGAGACAUUCAAGUCUCAGAACAACAUUAUACAGAGGCUAAGUAGAACAGAUCCUAAUUAUCCUGUCUAUCACACCGCUUUUGAAUCCUAUGAUCAUCCUUUCUUGUUCUAGUUUUCAUGGUUGCUUGUAGAGGAUUUGACUCUUUUGUAUGCAUUGUAUAUAUCUCAGACUCAGUGGUCGAAAGAAAACAUUUGUUGAAGCGUGGAAAGUGAAAGAGCUCUUUGUUAAACAAGGUUUCUGAUGUGUCCAUGCAUCGCUGUGUAAGCACAUCUAAAACUUGAUGGUUUAGUGAAAGGGAUUUGGAUCAAAGUAAAUUUGUGGCAGUGAAUCUAAGGAUGAUUAAGUUUUUGUUAAACUUAGCAGUAUAGCAGAAUUUUUUAUAUUUUCUUGCGUUGUAAUUGGUCAUAAAUUUUGGCUACUCGUAGAUGCAGGAGCUAGACAGAUAUAAACAGGGUGUUGUGUGUAUAGUUUUUCUAAUGAUUACAUGCAUGUAAUCAUUAUACUGUACUAACUAUUCCCCUUGCUUCUGCUUCUUCCUC